GGGGUUUAUAAAGCUGCUCGGAGGGCCAGCCCCCUGGGGGUGGGGAGGACUCAGCUCCCAGAGCAUCCUGUUUGGACAGCAAAUUCCUGAGUCAAGUCCGGCAUGCUCGAAGGCAGACAGGGACAAAGUCCUCAGGACACUUCCUCUUACAUACGCUGUAUGCAGCAAUCUUGACUGGAGGCUCUAGCCUCUGGGCCAAGCAAAGCCAAGUACGCCACAGACAGACCGAUGCCCCUGCAGAAAUGGAAACUCGGGAGCAACGCUCAUGGCUUUCUCUGCAUUGACACCUUGCUUUCCCAGCCACUCCCACCAUGAAGAGCCACCAUCACCUCCCAGUCUUCACAGAAGGAGACCUCCAAAACUGUGAGUCUAAAUAAACCUCUGGCCAAUGGCUCCAGCCCUUCCUGCUUGCCAGGGUGGUCACAAUGGGAGUCACCGCUAGACUCUGGCGGUAGUCACCAUGGGCUCCGACUAUAGUUUCCUUCUCUGUGAGGCAGGACAGUCUAAGCCAAAUCACCUGUACACUCAGCAGAAGUGGGUACUUCCCCAACAUCAGCUGCCAGAAAGCAGCAUGGCCACCACCCAGGGGCCUGUGGGAAAUGCGAUCUAUGCCCCAUCUACUGCAGUAGGCCGGGCUCUAAUGUGGUUUUA